GUGCCAGCCGCCGCGGUAAUACCGGCAGCCCGAGUGAUGGCCGAUCUUAUUGGGCCUAAAGCGUCCGUAGCUGGGUGUGAAAGUCCAUCGGGAAAUCCACUCGCUCAACGAGUGGCCGUCCGGCGGAAACUGCACACCUUGGGACCGGAAGGCUCGAAGGGUACGGCCGGGGUAGGAGUGAAAUCCUGUAAUCCCGCACGGACCACCGAUGGCGAAAGCACUUCGAGAAAACGGAUCCGACAGUGAGGGACGAAAGCUAGGGUCUCGAACCGGAUUAGAUACCCUGGUAGUCC
rnacentral:rRNA from 1 species